rnacentral:rRNA from 1 species
CCCCUAGAUGCUCUGGGCCGCACGCGCGCUACACUGGUCGAUGCAACGAGUUUCUUUCCUUGGCCGACAGGCCUGGGCAAUCUUUGAACAUCGAUCGUGAUCGGGAUAGAUUCUUGUAAUUUUUGAUCUUAAACGAGGAAUUCCUAGUAAACGCAAGUCAUCAGCUUGCAUUGAUUACGUCCCUGCCCUUUGUACACACCGCCCGUCGCACCUACCGAUUGAAUGGUCCGGUGAAAUCUCCGGACUGGCGUGAGUCGGAGCAAUCUGACAAACGCCGGAAAGUUGAUUAAACCUUACCAUUUAGAGGAAGGUGAAGUCGUAACA